GCAUCUGUGGCGGAAUAGGUAGACGCGCUAGACUCAAAAUCUAGUGGGGUAACACCCGUGCCGGUUCGAUUCCGGCCAGAUGUACCA
rnacentral:tRNA from 1 species